rnacentral:rRNA from 1 species
GGAAUAUUGGACAAUGGGCGCAAGCCUGAUCCAGCAAUGCCGCGUGAGUGAUGAAGGCCUUCGGGUCGUAAAGCUCUUUUGCCCGGGAUGAUAAUGACAGUACCGGGAGAAUAAGCCCCGGCUAACUCCGUGCCAGCAGCCGCGGUAAUACGGAGGGGGCUAGCGUUGUUCGGAAUUACUGGGCGUAAAGCGCACGUAGGCGGCUACUCAAGUCAGAGGUGAAAGCCCGGGGCUCAACCCCGGAACUGCCUUUGAAACUAGGUGGCUAGAAUCUUGGAGAGGCGAGUGGAAUUCCGAGUGUAGAGGUGAAAUUCGUAGAUAUUCGGAAGAACACCAGUGGCGAAGGCGACUCGCUGGACAAGUAUUGACGCUGAGGUGCGAAAGCGUGGGGAGCAAACA